rnacentral:tRNA from 1 species
GAUUGGACACAAGCGCCCAAUCAAGAAAUAUGAACAAUUUAUAUAGUUUAACCAAAACAUUACAUUUUCAUUGUAAAAUUAAAUUAUCUUUUAUAA